AUCCUAGUUCCUGCCUCUGGCUGUGUGUGUGGGUUGUCAUCUGUCGGUUGUACGAAGUUACAACAGCAUCAAUCGUAAUCCUGGUGCUUGCUUCAGCUACUCAUUCACGUGUUUUGGGGAUAUCUCAGUGAGACAAAGAAGAGGAGUCAUGUUGCAAUGCUCUCUGAUGUAACAGGAAAUGUGAUUAAGUGCAGCCCACAAUGUCAUCUGUCUCCAUGACGUAGAUGAGGAGCAUCUGCUAGACAAUAGAACUCUGUGUAGACCUAGGAAAUUGUUGUUCUUAUUGCAUUGUCAACUUGUUAUGACAGCUAGUGUUAUCAGUAUUUUGUUGGCAUAGUAUUAUUGUAAGUACCUUAACUUUAAACUGAAAGUAAGUUAAAGCAGCUGCCAACAGCUGAC